UACGAAGGGGACUAGCGUUGUUCGGAAUCACUGGGCGUAAAGCGCACGUAGGCGGAUAUGUCAGUCAGGGGUGAAAUCCCGGGGCUCAACCUCGGAACUGCCUUUGAUACAGCAUAUCUUGAGUCCGAUAGAGGUGGGUGGAAUUCCUAGUGUAGAGGUGAAAUUCGUAGAUAUUAGGAAGAACACCGGUGGCGAAGGCGGCGAUCUGGACGGUGACUGACGCUGAGACGCGAAAGCGUGGGGAGCAAACAGG
rnacentral:rRNA from 1 species